UGGGGAAUCUUGGACAAUGGGGCAACCCUGAUCCAGCCAUGCCGCGUGAGUGAUGAAGGCCUUAGGGUCGUAAAGCUCUUUCGCCUGUGAAGAUAAUGACGGUAGCAGGUAAAGAAACCCCGCUAACUCCGUGCCAGCAGCCGCGGUAAUACGGAGGGGUUAGCGUUGUUCGGAAUUACUGGGCGUAAAGCGCACGUAGGCGGACCAGAAAGUUGGGGGUGAAAUCCCGGGGGCUCAACCCCGGAACUGCCUCCAAAACUAUUGGUCUAGAGUUCGAGAGAGGUGAGUGGAAUUCCAAGUGUAGAGGUGAAAUUCGUAGAUAUUUGGAGGAACACCAGUGGCGAAGGCGGCUCACUGGCUCGAUACUGACGCUGAGGUGCGAAAGUGUGGGGAGCAAACAGGAUUAGAUACCCUGGUAGUCCACACCGUAAAACGAUGAAUGCCAGUCGUCGGGUAGCAUGC
rnacentral:rRNA from 1 species